CCCUUAGAUGUUCUGGGCCGCACGCGCGCUACACUGAUGAAUUCAACGAGUAUACUUUUUCAUUUUGAAAAAUUCCUUGGUUGAGAUGCCUGGGUAAUCUUGUAAACGUUCAUCGUGAUGGGGCUAGAUUAUUGCAAUUAUUAAUCUUAAACGAGGAAUUCCUAGUAAACGCAAGUCAUCAGCUUGCAUUGAUUACGUCCCUGCCCUUUGUACACACCGCCCGUCGCACCUACCGAUUGAAUGGUCCGGUGAAAACCUCGGAUUUUUGCUUGAUUCCAGCAAUGGAGACUUGCGAGAAGAAGUCGUUUAAACCUUACCAUUUAGAGGAAGGUGAAGUCGUAACA
rnacentral:rRNA from 1 species